CCUUCCACCGCCCCUUCCUCCGGGUCUCCCCGGCCUCGGGGGCGAAACCAGCUCCGCGGGGAGGGACGGGGGACAGGGGACAGGGAACAGGGGACGGGGAGGUCCCGCACCCCGCACCCCGCUCCCCGCACCCCAUCCUCCCCCGUGCGCCCCGACGGCCCCCGGGAGGCCUCGGGGGCUUCGCUCCCGGCCGCCCCCCGCGCACCUCGCCCCGUGCAGUCGCUGCCGGUGUCGCUGCCGGUGUCGGUGUCGCUGCCGGUGGCGGUGGUGGUGGCGGUGGCGAUGUCCCUGCGGCCGCCCCCCGCCCCCGCCGGCCCCUCCUGGCCGCCCGGCUGCGAGCCGAUGGGAGGGCCGAGCGGCAAUUCAUCUUGAUUUGCCUUCAUUGUCCGGAGCUGGCGAACUAUAAUCCUGUAUAAUUUCACGAACAAGCAGGUUUAGAAUUAAUGGGUCACUAUUAUUUAAAACAAAACACGCGAGAGCACGACCUUUCCCUUCAACUACACGCCGCAGCGCCGAGCCGCAGGAAACUCGGGGCUAACCUCUCACCCCCCCGCGCUCGGCGGGGCUGCGGUUAUUUGGGCUGCUCUUUGUUUCCCUUAAUGUCUGCAAGGGGAUUUGGAAGCAGAAAUGUAAUAUUACAUGAAGGAUCUCCCCGCUUCGGGGAGAAGGUGCUCGCAGGGGGCGGCCGAGGGGACAGAUGAUUUCGCACGGGAGCGGUUUGUUUGCAAACUGGCUUUGCUUUUUUGCUUUUCUUUCUUCGCCCCCCCCCCCCCCCCCCUUCCCCUCCUCCCUCUCCUUUAAUGUAAUAAAAGCUUCCUUCACAGCGGGAGAAAUUUAUGCUCGAGAUACAGCAACUUCGGGGCUGGCGAUGUCAAAUAAUCCAUUUUCUCGGGGCUGCGCAGGGGAGCAGUGGCAGCCCGGCCGCCCGGCGCACACAGGAGGCAGCGCUUCUCGCAUGCGACUUCAGCGCUCGGGGGACGAGGUCCCGUGGCAGCGACCGGUCAGUCCCUGCAGACGAGUCACCGCUGCGCCCCUCGGAAAGAAAAAAAAAAAUAAAAAUCCAGACAAAAGCGUAUGCUGUAUAUUUUUACUCCCAUGAAAUAAAACACAUUUGUCAUGUUCGCUGAAAAGGAAA
rnacentral:lncRNA from 1 species